AAGUCGCACGAGAGUGGAGCAAUCCAUGAAAGUGGCGCACGGGUGCGUAACACGUAGAUAACCUGCCCUAAGGAGGGGGAUAACGUUCCGAAAGGAGCGCUAAUACCGCAUAACACAGCGUCCGGUUCGCCGGAUGCGGGCAAAGGCUGGGACCGGCAACGGCCAGUCGCCAUAGGAGGGGUCUGCGGCCCAUCAGCUAGUUGGUAAGGUAAUGGCUUACCAAGGCAGAGACGGGUAGCUGGUCUGAGAGGAUGAUCAGCCACACUGGUACUGGAACACGGACCAGACUCCUACGGGAGGCAGCAGUGGGGAAUCUUGGUCAAUGGGCGCAAGCCUGAACCAGCGACGCCGCGUGAGUGAUGAAGGCCUUCGGGUUGUAAAGCUCUGUGGGGAGGGACGAAAGAGCUCAGUCGAAUAGGCUGAGUGUUGACGGUACCUCCUUAGCAAGCACCGGCUAACUCUGUGCCAGCAGCCGCGGUAAGACAGAGGGUGCAAACGUUGCUCGGAAUCACUGGGCGUAAAGGGCGUGUAGGCGGGAAAGUAAGUCGGGCGUGAAAUCCCCAGGCUCAACCUGGGAACUGCACUCGAAACUACUUUCCUUGAGUGUCGGAGAGGAAAGCGGAAUACCUGGUGUAGAGGUGAAAUUCGUAGAUAUCAGGUGGAACACCAGUGGCGAAGGCGGCUUUCUGGACGAUAACUGACGCUGAGACGCGAAAGCGUGGGGAGCAAACAGGAUUAGAUACCCUGGUAGUCCACGCUGUAAACGAUGAGUGCUAGGUGUCGUGGGUAUUGACCCCCGCGGUGCCGUAGCUAACGCAUUAAGCACUCCGCCUGGGAAGUACGGUCGCAAGACUAAAACUCAAA
rnacentral:rRNA from 1 species